rnacentral:rRNA from 1 species
GACGAACGCUGGCGGCGUGCCUAAUACAUGCAAGUUGAGCGAUGAAGAUUGGUGCUUGCACCAAUUUGAAGAGCAGCGAACGGGUGAGUAACGCGUGGGGAAUCUGCCUUUGAGCGGGGGACAACAUUUGGAAACGAAUGCUAAUACCGCAUAACAACUUUAAACAUAAGUUUUAAGUUUGAAAGAUGCAAUUGCAUCACUCAAAGAUGAUCCCGCGUUGUAUUAGCUAGUUGGUGAGGUAAAGGCUCACCAAGGCGAUGAUACAUAGCCGACCUGAGAGGGUGAUCGGCCACAUUGGGACUGGGACACGGCCCAAACUCCUACGGGAGGCAGCAGUAGGGAAUCUUCGGCAAUGGACGAAAGUCUGACCGAGCAACGCCGCGUGAGUGAAGAAGGUUUUCGGAUCGUAAAACUCUGUUGGUAGAGAAGAACGUUGGUGAGAGUGGAAAGCUCAUCAAGUGACGGUAACUACCCAGAAAGGGACGGCUAACUACGUG